rnacentral:rRNA from 1 species
GAUUGAACGCUGGCGGCAUGCCUUACACAUGCAAGUCGAACGGCAGCACGGGAGCAAUCCUGGUGGCGAGUGGCGAACGGGUGAGUAAUAUAUCGGAACGUGCCCAGUCGUGGGGGAUAACGUAGAGAAAUUUACGCUAAUACCGCAUACGAUCCAAGGAUGAAAGCGGGGGACCGUAAGGCCUCGCGCGACUGGAGCGGCUGAUAUCAGAUUAGCUUGUUGGUGAGGUAAAAGCUCACCAAGGCGACGAUCUGUAGCUGGUUUGAGAGAACGACCAGCCACACUGGGACUGAGACACGGCCCAGACUCCUACGGGAGGCAG